UUAUACCUAUUGUUGCCUCGGCGUCAGGCCGGCCUCUUCACUGAGGCCCCCCGGAGACGGGGAGCAGCCCGCCGGCGGCCAACUAAACUCUUGUUUCUAUAGUGAAUCUCUGAGUAAAAAACAUAAAUGAAUCAAAACUUUCAACAACGGAUCUCUUGGUUCUGGCAUCGAUGAAGAACGCAGCGAAAUGCGAUAAGUAAUGUGAAUUGCAGAAUUCAGUGAAUCAUCGAAUCUUUGAACGCACAUUGCGCCCCCUGGUAUUCCGGGGGGCAUGCCUGUUCGAGCGUCAUUUCAACCCUCAAGCCUGGCUUGGUGAUGGGGCACUGCUUCGAAAGGAGCAGGCCCUGAAAUUCAGUGGCGAGCUCGCCAGGACCCCGAGCGUAGUAGUUAUAUCUCGCUCUGGAAGGCCCUGGCGGUGCCCUGCCGUUAAACCCCCAACUUCUGAAAAUUUGACCUCGGAUCAGGUAGGAAUACCCGCUGAACUUAAGCAUAUCAA
rnacentral:rRNA from 1 species